rnacentral:rRNA from 1 species
UACGUAGGGACCAAGCGUUGUUCGGAUUUACUGGGCGUAAAGGGCGCGUAGGCGGCUUAACAAGUCACUUGUGAAAUCUCCGGGCUUAACUCGGAACGGCCAAGUGAAACUGUCAAGCUAGAGUGCAGAAGGGGCAAUCGGAAUUCUUGGUGUAGCGGUGAAAUGCGUAGAUAUCAAGAGGAACACCAAUUGCGAAGGCAGCUCGCUGGGACGUUACUGACGCUGAGACGCGAAAGCGUGGGGAGCAAACAGG